GGUCCGGCCGGAUGACAAGAGGGAAUGGCGCUCCGACGCCUGCCACAGCCCGGAGGAACCUCGAUGUCACGCUGCAGGAAAGAGGUGGACACAGAAGGUCGCAGGUCUCAAGACUUACGCAAAAUGUCCCAAACAGUGUGUGCCAGGUGGGAGAGGGGCUGCAAGACCCCUGAAGCCACCACUGGAUUUGGGACUGUGGGGGUCUCAGAGACCCUUCAGAGCUGCGUGUGCCAAGCAGGUAGGCUCAGCGGCCGUGGCCACCUGGUGUCAGUGCUGUGGAAAGAAGCCACCGCAAACUUGGUGGCCGAACACUGCACGGAUUCCCUGUCUUCUGGCUCUGGGGCAGGAGUCCAGCGCGGCCCGGCGGCGGCCCUCCUGCAGCCUCGGCAUCCGUCUGGCUUUUUCCAGCCGCCAGGGGCACCCACACGCCUCGGCCCGCGGCCCCUUCCUCGUCCUCACAUCCGGCCGCUGACCUUCCCCCUCACACCUGCUCCCUGACUCCUUCCUGCUGUUCCGUCUCUGCCCCUCUCCUUCUCAUGAGGACCUGGUGAUGACUCGGGGCACACCCCACGAUGCAGCAUCACCCCCAUCUCAGGGUCCUCCACUUAGUCGCGUCUGCCGAAGGUUCUUGGGAUCAGGGCGUGGACUCGGGGAGCACACCGGCAGAUCCCGUCCGUGUCAGGAAGGGGGUCUUCGCAGGGCAGGGCAGGUGCUGGAAGCACACGGGGGCUCUUGCUGGCGGCCGCCGCCUUCGGCUGUGUCAGGGGGGCGAGGAUGCAGUGGGCGGGGACGGCGGCUGCGUGGGGUCCCACGGGACAGGUGGCUGGGAGCCCAGGGGGCAGGGUGAGCGGGCCGCAGCGGCCCUGGGCAGGUGCACAGGUGGAUGCUGGCUUCCUCCCCGGCUCAGCCUUUUCCCAGAGGGAGUGACCGGCAGUCACAGGCCCAGAGGGGUGGGCACCUGGCCAGGGAGUUUCCGACGGGAAAGACCCAGGGAUGGAAGGCAGCGACAGCCCUUUGUGGCUUUCAGGCUCCCUUUUCUGUCCCAGUGCUCUUGGCCGACCCCUUCCCCGGAAGCUCCCGCCGGGCGGGGGCUGCUCCCAGUGAAGUCACUUCCUGCACAGUCGUCGACCCUCUCCUGGGUCUUCUGAACCUUCCUCACAUUUGGGGGACACCCCCGAGCUAGGUUGUCCUUGGUUUGGACAAACUGCUACGCCGAGGGCCCUGGGAGGAGGGUGGCUGGGCAGAGCCGGGGUCGACAUCUGGCUUCUACUCCCUGAGAGCAGGAGCUGCUCUGGGGCCAGCGGUGGACAGGGACACAGAAUCUAGGGACGCCCAAGCCCCCACAGCCGGGGCAUCGGGUGGGGCUGGGGGUGGGCACCUCUGCAUUUGCCCCCCGAGGGCCCUCCCCCAGCCCUGCAGUGCAGGUCACGAGUGGGUCAGAGCAGACCCCCCGGGGGAGGCCGCAUGGUCAGAGCGGACACCCUGGGGGAGGCCGCAUGGUCAGAGCGGACACCCCGGGGGAGGCCAGCUGCCCCAGAGGUGCCAUCUCGUGUCACACUCUAAUCCCGAGGGCCGACGCAUGGGCUCAGCUGUCCUGUAGACAUCUCCCUUCUAUUGCCCAGGGGCCACUUCCCCGGCUCCGUGCGCCAGGCCCUCCUCUUCCUUGGCGGACGCUCCUUUAACGGGGUGCAUACUGCAGUAGUGUGUGGACACGGCGCGUGGAAGAUGCGUGUCGGCCCCUCGCAAUCUGAGGCGCCCUGAUCAGCCUCGGCCCUGCUGCAUCCUGGCCCUCGGCGGCACCCGCCUCCAUCGCCUGGUCGGCUCACCUCCCAUGUGGCCGCCUCACAUCCCGGUCCCUUACAAGGGCCCCUUUGGGACCUAAUUCAUGUCGAUCUGGAGGAUGUCCCACUUGUACCAGAAGAGUGUGCAGCUUUCUGUUCACCGAUUAUCCGAACUGUCAGCCUCUGCUCACAGUUGUGGCGCUGCCCCCGCCCCGGGCGGCAGCGAGGCUGGGCCGGCCGCGGUCUGUCGCGGUGCAUCUUCCGGGGCUGGCUCCAGCCGCACGGGUGUCCUGUGUUUCAUCUGCUGCUCCCUGGAUGGUGCCCCCUCUUCCUUCGCGAUGCUUUCACGUUAAAUCUCUUUUCUCGUUUAUUAAAGCUCCCUUUCGGUUGAAGGUUCA